CAGGUGCAGAGGGAUACUGCUGCUCUGAGGAGACAGCAGUGGAGAACCCUCCGACAGCUGGCUGGUCAGAAAAAGGCAAGGCAGGCGCCAUCCUAUCUCCUCUGUUGUGGAAAGCCCAGCAGGUCAAGCAUUGUGGUGUGGGUGUGACUGAAGGCAGAAACGGGACUGUGCAUCAAUGAAAUUGUUUACAAAUAUGUCAUGGGAAUUGAAGGAGGGGAAGUCAUCUCCUAGGCUUUAGACACAGAAAAGAACCUGAAAGUAUAUAUCCAAAACAAA